GAGCCUGUAGCUCAGUUUGGAUUUAGAGCACACGCCUCCUAAGCGUGGGGUCAAGGGUUCGAAUCCCUUCAGGCUCG
rnacentral:tRNA from 1 species